UCCCCUCUUCUCCCAGAGGUUUGGGGGGGAGGGGACUUCUUGUGGUAAGGUUUGGAGACUUGGCAGGGAGCAAGCUUCAAACUAUAUCAACUGUUCAAUUGAGCAACUGGAAAUCAAAAUCAGUGAUAAGAAAUUCCCACGGGAUGAGGUUCAACAAGACCAAAUACUGGGUCCUGCACUUUGGCCACAACAACCAACCCCCUGCAGUGCUAGAGGCUGGGGACAGAGUGGCUGGAGAGUGACCAGGCAGAAAGGGACCUGGGGAUACUGACUGACAGCAGUUGAACGUGAGCCAGCAGUGUGCCCAGGUGGCCAAGAAGGCCAAUGGCAUCCUGGCCUGGAUCAGGAACAGUGUGACCAAGGAAGUGAUUCGUUAACUGUACUUGACACUGGUGAGGCCACACCUGGAGUACUGUGUCCAGUUCUAGGCCCCUCAGUUCAGGAAGGAUAUUGAGGUGCUGGAGUGUGUGCUAGAGUGUGUCCAAAGAAGGGCAACAAGGCUGCUGAAGAGACUCGAGCACAAGUCCUGUGAGGAGAGGCUGAGGGAGCUGGGGCUGUUUAGCCUGGGGAAGAGGAGGCUCAGGGAGACCUCAUCACUGUCUACAACUACCCGAAAGGAGGCUGUAGCCAGGUAGGGGUUGGUCUCUUCUCCCAGGCAACCAGCAGCAGGAUAAGUGGGCACAGUCUUAAGCUGCAUGAGGGGAGGUUUAAGUCAGGCAUUAGGAAGAAGUUCUUCAGAGAAAGGGCAUUUGGGCACUGGAAUGGGCUGCCCCGGGCAGUGGUGCAGUCACCAUCCCUGGAGAUAUUUAAGAAGAGACUGAAUGUGGCACUUAGUGCCAUGGUCUAGUAGAUAAGGUGGUGUUAGGUCAUACGUUGGACUCAGUGAUCUCAGAGGUCUUUUCUAACCUAGUUGAUUCUGUGAUUCUGUGAUUUUAUGAAAGUGUUUAGGGAAAUUAAAAUCAUUUGAAGUUUGUGAUACCCCACGGUGGUCUCUGCAGUGUACAGUGUAUUUGUCUAAGCCAAAGGGAUAAGAAAUCCAGAAUAGGAACAAAGUAGAAGUAUUCGUAGAAGAAUAGCAUGUUUUUGCAGAAUAACAUCCCAUCCAAGCUGCUUCAACAUUGUGACCAUGGUGUUUUUGAGUCAAGUGAGCAUCUCUUACCUCUUGCUGAUCACUUCCACUAGUUUCCCAGAAGACUUUGAGGUGAGUUCAGGCAAGGGACACUUUCACAAAGCUGCUUUGUUGCAGAGUAGGAUGUGGGUUCACGGUCUGAAAACAGCCUAGGCCAGCACCCAGGGAUCUGCCCCCAGGAAUGAAGACUUUGUGUUAACCAUCUCCUCAGUCAAUCUGCAGAUGACAUCAAAUUGAGUAGGAGUGUUGAUCUGCUGGAGGAUAGAAAGGCUGGGAUCUGGACAGGCUGGAUCAGUGUGACAAAGCCAAUGGAAUGAGGUUGAAAAAGACCAAGUCCUGGGUCCUGCACUUGAUUCAUGACAACCCCAGACAGUGCUACAGGGUGGGGACAGAGUGACUGGAAAGCUGCCCAGCAGAAAAGGACCUGGGGGUGCUGGUUAAACAGCAGCUGAAUGUGAGCCAGCGGUGCGCCCAGGUGGCCAAGAAGGCCAGUGGCAUCCUGGCCUGCAUCAGCAAUAGUGUGGCCAGCAGGACCAGGGCAGUGAUCAUCCCACUGUACUCAGCACUGGUGGGGCCCCACCUCAAAUCCUGUGUUCAGUUUUGGGCCCCUCACUCGAAGAAAGACACUGAGAUGCUGCAGCAAGUCCAGAGAAGGACAACAAAGCUGGUGAAAGGUCUGCAGCACAAGCUCCGCAAUGAGGGAGCUGGAGUUGUUUACCAUGGAGAAAAGGAGGCUUAGGAGUGACCUUAUCACUCUCUGCAACUACCUGAAAGGAGGUUGUAGCAGGUGGCAAGUUGGCCUCUUCUCCCAGGUAACAAGCAACAGGACAAAAGAAGGUGUACACAAGUUGCUCCAGAGGAGGUUUAGCUUGGAUAUUAGGAAAAAUUUCUUUACAGAAAGGGUUGUCAAGCAUGGACCAGUCCGCCCAGAAAGUGGUUGAGUCACCAUCCCUGGAAGUAUUUAGAAAACGUAGAUAUGGCACUUAGGGAGAACAUGUUUUAGUGGUGGACUAGGCAGCAUUAUGACUCAAUGAUCUUAAAAGUCUUUUCCAAUAUGGAUGACACUAUGAUUCUGGAGGUGUGCUUGACAUCACCAGGGAGCAGCACAGGGAGAGAAAGACUAGUGACCUGUCCUGCUAUUUAUGUCAGUGCAUGCUACGCACAGGGAAAAACACAACUUGCGUUUAGAUUCUUGAAUUGCCCAUUUUUUUCUGCCUGAGAUAAAUACUCACUUGCAACUGUGUAAAUGGAACUGAGGAGUUUGCAAAGACAGUGGGUUUUAAAAAACAGUAACUUUGAAUCAAAUAUCAAGUACCCUGAGGCAUAUAAUUCUGCUUUCAGCCAUGAGUUUUUAGGUAAAGCACGUUAAAACUGGAAGUUUGCAAUUUGGGGUGUGUGUUGCUCUCUGUUUACAAAGUACGUACACAAAACUCUCUCUCUUUGAAUACAGUUGGGACAAACAACAUGCAACGGUUUCUUUGUUCAUAAAAUCAAAUCUCUUUUAAGCCAGCAUUCUGGCCAAAAUUAGAACAUUGUUUCCCACUCUAGAGUUUUUUCCAGGACUAUGCAUAUUGCUGGUACUUCCUUGGCUGGCUCUUUUUUGACUGCAUUUUUGUUAAGUUCAUGUCACACUCACACAAAUGCAUCCUUAUGAUCUAGUUGGUGCUUGCAGAAUAUCCCGGAGAAAGCUUUUUUGGCUGGUACAUACCAGGCUUUCCUCAGGACAUCACUGAUUUGUGACUUGGGUAGCAGUUUCUAUUGUUUCAUUUGUUGCUAAAUAAAAAGGUAUUGAAUAAUUUUCUUCCAGACUAGAAGUGUUGUAUUCACUUGAAGGAAACCAACGCAGGAGUUCAACUGGCAAUGUGAUGGAGAUUGAGAAAUUAAUUUGAACUAUAAAGAAGUACGCAUGUAAAGGGGAGCAUUCUUACAGAUUUAGAUUAUUAAGUGCUAAGUUCUGCAGCAUAUGGUGGCUGAAAGGAGUGCAGAACCACUCUCAAACAGUUAAGUCAGCAACAAAAACCCCUACUGUUAAAAUCCUACCAUCCAGAGGAAGGGCCAUUUACUGUCACAAAGCUGAAAGAAAUGUUACAGCACUAUUUCUGCUGGAUAUGGAUGAGGCUCUAAUCUCUCUUCAAGUAUCUUACAUUGGUCAGUGGGACUGAGACUCCACAAACUUCCCUUAACUGCUUUGAAACUGAAAACAAUUACCAUCUUACAAGUUAGGGAAACUGCACAUGAAAAGUUCCUCUUACAGUUUAGCUAGAAUACAAAGCCUUGAAAAGAAAGCCUUUAAUGUGAAAUAAGGGGACAACAUCUUUUUUGGACUAGGUGCUGGAGUGGAUGCAGGGGCAGGUUGCUGCGAGCACAUAUCCCCUUGUGACUCCAGGAACAGAGUCACAGCAGUUCCAGGCAAACAAGUGUCACAUUGCCUGUUCAAUGAUACCAUCAGCCCAGGCAGCUAGGUCAAAGGUUUGUGUUUGACAACAGUGAGUGCACCUUUUUCUUCUUAUUCCUGAAGGUAGUGGUUAUUACUUGAACACACAGCUGUGGCUUUUUGUCAAGAAAACUAGAGCAGCCUGCUGGUGAAAUGGUGCAAGUGCACACCAUUGUUUGAUAUUGUAUGUAGAAAGCUGACCCCUUAAACUACUUCAAAGAUGGCAAGAAACAUGAAGAUCAUUUCUCUAAUGGCCCAUUCUUACUGAUAUUACGAAAAAAAGCUUAUUUGAGAUGUAUGUUUUCCUCUACCCUCAUAAAUUGUGAAGUUUCAGAAGACUGAUAGUCUUCACAGUCAGCUGUCUGUGAAAACUUUGUACCAGCAUCUCAAGCCAAAAUAACAGGAGGACUAUCAUAUUCAAAUGAACCAGAAAAGGAGAAAUAAUUCUAGGUCUAAGUGGAUAAUCUUGCAAUUAAAUAUUUGAGUUGAAGGCUGAGGACACUGGUUUUGUCUAGAAGAAUCGCAGUAGCAAUACAAUGUUGAUCUUAUCCCACCGAAAAAGGAAUUAUAUUUGACCAUAUACCACAGGUCCUGUAAAGAACUGUUGAAAAGACUAUUCAUGCCCAUUUAGGAUGUGCUCAGGAUCAUUGCUGAUUCUCAAGACCACCUUGUUGUUAUUAUACCAAGUCUAGCUAAAUUCAGUGGUUUCCAGUCUGAAAGGUAGAAUUACCAGACUAGCUACCAUCAUGACUAUUUGUGAGCACAUGAUUGUCAUAUGAUUUGGAAAUUUGCACAGCUAUAUUCUGUACAUCUCCCUGUUUUCCAUACGGUUGCAAACUUCUAACAAGUCUUUGCUUCGUGUUACUUAAACUCCUAUAGAAGGUUCAUUAAACACAUGAAAACUCUUCUUAAGGCCUGGAGCCAUUCCUGCAAUGACUAAGCCUUUCACCUCCACUUUUAUUGUUUUGAAGCAGAAAAUUAACUUGGGAGAAGCACAAAGAAAGUGAUCCUCCCUCACCAAGACUCAGGAUAUUUGUGGAAAGAAAUAUGAAAAACAAAGCAUUAACUCAUGGAGAAAAGCAGAAGCAUCUACAGCAGAGGAAUGUCAGGCCUUUAGAGACUGCACAAAAUCCAGAUCCCAUCUGAAUUUAAAAAUGAAUGCUUUUACAAUUCAAGUCAGUGCCCAACUUUCUCUUAAAGGUAAAGCCUGUAUAACUGUCACUGGUGUACAAGAAGAAUAUCAAUACCCUGUCUUCUAGAUCAUCAAUUAGUAUUGCUACAGAAUACUGUAAAAAAUGUAUUAUGAUCAUGAGUUGUUUCAAUAAAUGCAGUAAAGUUUCAAAUUAAGUUCUGCAAAUCUUCAGGUCUGCAGUCAUCAUCAACCAUCACCGACCACUUGAGGCAGCCGACUGUUGCCUGGAUUUUCCAUUUUAACAUGGCAUGCAUUAAACAUAGGGCAGACCACUCAUUCUGCCCUGCCUUUACGUAAGUGACACUGCAGGCCAGUUCAUCCUUAGAAAUAACACUGGCAGCAAAGUAUGGUCAAGAAACGCCACCUGCUGUCUCUUGGAUCACUGUUCCAAAAAGCUGCUGGGGCGUAAGGACAUGCACAAAAAUCACAUUGUCUUUUACUGGACGAAGAACAUUUGAAUAUGAUAAGGAGCAAUCCUUUUCCAUACAAGAGGUCCCAAAAGAGGCCUCAGAUCCUCAUCUGAGCUACUUACUACAUAAGCAGCACUUCCUACGGAAUCUCUUGCAGUGAAACCUAGAGAAAAAAAUAUAGCAAUUCACUUUGAAAUGUAAAUGCCUUGGUUUUUUUCCAGAUUGUUAAAAAAAAAAAAAAUCUGUUAUUGAAUUUAAGAAUGUUGAAUUCUCUUUUAUUUCAAGGUUCAUAAUUGAAAAAAAAUUAUUAAAAGCUGCAAUAACAUAGUGUGGAUCCUAUUGUCUGAGGCUAUCUCCAAAAAAACUGUCUAGUAACUCAGCCCUUGGCAUUACAGCCACUCUGACCCAGCAAAAUCCCUAAGUAUUUGCUUAUCUCUAGACAAGUUUGGUCUCCUGUUCUUGGGUGCUUGGAAACCAGGAGUCAGCACAAUCUAAUAACAGUCAACUAAGCACAAGGAUGAAGACUUUUCAGCACAAAAGCCAGUGUGCUUAGGACCUUGAUGCACCAAAAUACAAAUUCAUAAAUAAUCACUCAAAUCCAAGAUUUCCCAAUUAACAAGUCUCUGUACCUUGUAUGACACAAAUUUGACUUUGUUGGAAAUCAGCUGCAUAAAUAUUAGAAGUUGCUUAUUUUUCCCAGCUUUCUUUUUUCUGAGGGAUAAUGUUACCAGUCUUCUUAAACACUUCAACAUUCAAUAUUCUAAUUUUAAAUGUCUGAAUUUUGUGUGUGUUUCUUUGAAUGUAUUCUUUAACCUUUGCUGAGUCCCUGCUUUCUUCUUCUAUUAAAGUAUUUUUAGUUUUUUAAGGGUAUCUCCUCUCUUAAGACAAAGACAUGUUAUUUCUCAAAAAAAAAUCAAUUUGUUACUUGGAGUAAAUAAACCUCAAGAAAACAGGUAGCCAAGAGAACAAAGAAUGGAAACAUCAGGUAUAUUGACAGUUUUAAUAGAAGUUGUCAUUACUUCAGUUGCAGGUAGGAUACAGCCUCAGGUAGGAAGCUAUCCAAUUCAGAUUUGAAUGAACAAGCAAACAUGCAGUCCCAGGAUGCACCAACUUCUUGUAAUUAAUACAGAACUGACCUUACAUAUUUGCUGUGUAAGGUUAAAUGGAUGUGGCAUUUAUAAACUUAGCACCGAACAGCUGUCCUGAUAGUACUGGAUGACAUCAGACAGUUGUCCUGAUAAUACCAAUGGAGUGAACUGAGGAGUAGUUAAUCCCUCCACAUUUUUUGCCACUAGUCCUUGCCAUAAUGCAAGCAGCCUUUACAAAUCCCAUAUCAAAUUUAUUUGUGGAGAAAAGACUGGGAGCUUCUCAAGGGUUCAUAUAGUUUUGAAAGAAUUUGAAAGAAACCUUGAAAGAAUUUCCAACUGAGGGAAAAGAGUUAAAAACCUCUACUCCUGAACUAUAUGUGGAAUUAUGUGCUACACAAUACUACAGAAAAAGUAAUAGUUGUGUUCUUAGACUAAUGUAUGUAGUAUUUAGUUCAUGCCACCACUCAUAAACAGUGUGCAUGUGAUUCACAAAAAUGUAAUACACACUUCAAAUGAUUCUUCACUUACACUUGUACGAAGUUCCCUCUACUGUGUAACAGUUUUUGUGCAUUUUAGUAUUAACAGGACAUAUUGCGACAGCAACAAAUCAGAGAGAGUCUCAGACAGAAACCUCUGGUGUGCUGUAGCCACAUUUUCUUUGAAGCUGUGUUUCUGCAUGGAUGGGUUCUUGUUCCUUCACAGUGCCUCACUGGCUUCAACAAAGUUUGAUAUAGCAUGCACAGAUUCAUUCACAGAAAGUAUACUCUGAGUUCUGACAUUGCUCGACUGGGGCAGAGACAAAAUAAAAAGAACAGAAUCCAGAGGAGAGAUCAUGCAGCCCAGCUUGGAGAGUAUGAGUACCAAGCUGGGCUCCAACUAGUCUAGUGCUUACAGGACUGCCAAGUUCUGUAUCAACAGGUUCAUCACUUCAUAGGCAGAAGUAAACCAAAAGCACGCAAAGGUCAGCCAAGGCAUAACUGCUUCCGACUCCUUCUAUUCUGGAUGGUGAGUGAGUACAGAUUUUUGGGUGUACAGGACUCACAGAUCAA